rnacentral:lncRNA from 1 species
GGGGGGGUUAAAUUUUUCUCAUUUCAGAUUUCAUAAAUAAAAAGAAAAUUUCUUCAAACAUUUUUUUGAGAGGAUUAAUAUUCAACAGUAUAGUGAAUUGCUUAAAGGCAAAAAAAAAUAUUUUAAGUUCAUUAGACCACAUUCAUUCUGUGUCAGAAACCUAUGCUGUGUCAACUAUUUAAUCACAAUCCAAAUUUAGAGCUGAAUCAAGCUUAAAUGUUGUGUCCAUACUUGCACCA